rnacentral:tRNA from 3 species
CGUCGGACAGCACGGCGAGGCAGCUGCCGUCGCCGGCGGCCGUGACGAAGAGGAAGGCGUCGUCGAGUUCGACGACCGUCUGGCGG